CAAUAGCGUAUAUUGAAGUUGUUGCGGCUAAGAAGCUCGUCGUUGGAUUUCUGUUGAGGUCGAACAGUGCCGCCCUAUGGGUGCGCAACUGGCUCGGCUUCGGCAUCUUCUUGGAGAGCGCAUCUGCACUUAACUGUGUGGAUCGUACUCCAAGUCAGUUACGUUGAGGAAUUGUGAGUGUUUCAAGCAGGCUUACGCCGUUGAAUCCGUUAGCAUGGAAUAAUAUGAUCGGACCUCGGUUCUAUUUUGUUGGUUUUGAGAGCUGGGGCAGCAAUUGAUAGGGACGGAUGGGGGCGUCCGAACUUUACUGUCAGAGGUGAAAUUCUUAGAUCGGUCAAAGGCGAACUACUGCGAACGCAUUCGCCAAGACUGUUUUCUUUAA
rnacentral:rRNA from 1 species